UACAUGUCUCUUCUCUGAGACCAAGCUCCUUGAAGAAAUAUACUUUUGGGGCAUGGAGAGGAGUAAUGAGGAAGUAGCCUGGAAAGAUCUCCUCAUCAGUGCCUGGCCCUACCACCAUCCAACUCAGCUGUCAACAGUCCCCACUCU
rnacentral:lncRNA from 1 species